GACGAACGCUGGCGGCGUGCUUAACACAUGCAAGUCGAACGGUGAAGCGCCUUCCUUUUUGGUGGGUGUGGAUGAGUGGCGAACGGGUGAGUAACACGUGAGUAACCUGCCCCCUUCUUCUGGAUAACCGCAUGAAAGUGUGGCUAAUACGGGAUAUUCUGGGUCUGUCGCAUGAUGGGUCUGGGAAAGAUAUUGUUUCGGUGGGGGAUGGGCUCGCGGCCUAUCAGCUUGUUGGUGGGGUGAUGGCCUACCAAGGCGGUGACGGGUAGCCGGCCUGAGAGGGUGGACGGUCACACUAGGACUGAGACACGGCCCAGACUGCUACGGGAGGCAGCAGUGAGGAAUAUUGCACAGUGGGCGCAAGCCUGAUGCAGCGACGCCGCGUGAGGGAUGGAGGCCUUCGGGUUGUGAACCUCUUUCGCCAGUGAAGCAGGCCUGCCUCGUUUGUGGGUGGGUUGACGGUAGCUGGAUAAGAAGCGCCGGCUAACUACGUG
rnacentral:rRNA from 1 species